CUCUCCCUCUGCGCACAACCGCACAGGCCAGCUCCCCGGCUGCCCAGCUCCGCUCUCCUCCAGCGGCCCACGCCGGCCUUCCCACCUCCCUGUUUCCGUACAGCACCUCCCGAGCUCAUCACGACAGCUGGCACCUGACCUGUCCUUUUGCGCACAACGACAGAAUUAGACUGUGGGGACAUCAAGGCAGCGAACAGUGUCAGCUCGCCUCCUAAACCGCAGGCACGGGCCUUGAGGAAACAGUGGUCUGCGAGGGUGUCAUGGAGGGGCUCUGUCAACAAGUUAUUCAAGAAACACGCGGGAACUUAUCCAGCUGUACCCUUAGGUAAAGCUGCAUUCCACGACAUGCCUUUCUCACUCCAAAACUCUGGACAUUUGUGUGACAUACAUUGUGGGUGACACACCUCCUGGCUUUCCACACCCGCAAAGGUCACCACCACAGGAACGUUGUAAGUUGGAACAGUCCUUCCCCCUUCAUGGUGUCUUUUUGUGCUCACUCAGCAACCUCAUUCUACUUUUGUAACCACUGUCAGGACACUUCUUCCUGAAAGGAACUCCCAAGUCUUAGGGGAAGGGAUGUGCAGUUCAUUGACCCUGCACAGCAGGCGCCGCUCCAAAGGCCAGGAGCCACCUGCUUCUCAGCUCACGUGGAAGCAAACUUCCAGGUCAAAGCCAAGUGCUGAAGAACCCAGCUUAACUACUGUGAUGCGAGGACCUGCAGCAGCUCCAGCCCACUGGUGCAGGAGAAGGAACAGAGGACUGGGCAGGAGAACACUCCCGGGGGCUGGCAGCAAGGAAUGUCAUCAAAGCAUAUUUGAGCCUGCAAAGUCCUUCGAGCUAUUUUAAUCCAAACACCUCAUUUUAAAGACAAGAAAACUGAUGCCCAGGGCGAGUUAAGUAGUCAGCCAAACCAGACCAGAGCUGACGCUAGACCUAAAUCUUUAUUGCAUGAGAAAAGUUGCAUAUUAGUGAAAAUCACCCCCCAAAGGAUAUCUAAUUUCCGAUUUAGCAGUGGCUUAGGUUCUAGAUUGCUUCCUCAAGAAAUUCUCUUGCUAUAGUUACCAUUGUUGAUGGACAGCAAACAGGAAAGAUAAGGUCCCCCUAAGAGGCUCUUACUCGUUAGUGUUGAUGCACAUCUUCUGAGCCUUGAACCAAAGUUCAACAGAGUCCACUUUUUAAAUUACCACCCAAUUAAGUCAUCAUCUCUUAUCAGUAGAAUAAAGGUACAAAGUGGCUGCCAAUAUGAAUAAAAACAUAGGUUUGACAGUAAUCACACUGGCUGUCAUCUCAAAAAUUCUGUAUAAUUGGAUAACUUCACCACAAAUUAUUUCAACCAUGAAAAUUUAUAAAAAUUGCAGUUAGAAUUUAAUAAAACUAAAUGAACACAUCCAACACUGCAAUAUAAUGCAAACAACUCUUUCAGAUCUGCCUAAGACAUCCACGAUGUGACUGAAAUAUCAUUCCCUUGAGCACUUAUUGAUCUCCUCCCAGACAAGCUGCUAGCGGGGAGGCAGAUACAGAAUCUCAGGGGUCUCUGGAGCAAAGGAGAAUUCUCCAGCAGGCCACCAAAGAGAGACCUGGUGAAGUGCCUUAUGGAAAGUGCCAUCACUGAGGUGGUGGCCAUGGAUGAAAUUACUUAGAGGAUAAGUCACCCACAAAAUGGAGCAUCCUGUAGAGGGAAGCAGAGGCUUUGGACCUGGACAAACUCUACUGCCCACUGGUUAUUAUAUAACCUUCAGUCAACUGUUAACAUAAACUCGUUUUUUUCUUCUUCUUUAAAGUAAGAAGAAUGGUUUUCAUCUUAUAGGUUAUUGUUAAAGUAUAUGAGAGUUUGUAAAGUAGCCAGCACAGUCCAGAUGGGACAGAAAUACCUGUAUUAUACAAGUAUUGGAAGUGGAGCAAAAAAUGUCACAUCCUGGGGUUGUGCUGUACACAACCUGCUCAGAUGUACACUGUGGUCCUAGCCUGAUACACAAUAUAACUCAAUCAAUCAUAUUCUGUUGAGAGCCACAGUUUAGUCGGAAUGACGCCUGGCAUUUUGCUAGAGGGAAUGGUUGAAAGGUGACCCUGCUCUGGGAAUAGGGCGGCUCUGGGAUUAGGGCGGAUCCUGCUGGGAAUAGGGCAGCUCGGGGGAUUAGGGCGGAUCCUGCUGCCUUAGGCGUCCUCUACUUUGGAGUUCCGGUUCCUGUUCCGGGAGAAUUGGCCAAUGGAGCCCAGGGGAGGGGGUGUGUUCCUGGGAAGUGUGUGUAGACUGCCUGUGAGAGUCCAGGAAUAAAGAGUUGCUCUUUGAACCUACAA